GGCUGGUCCAAGUGCAAUAGUGUUUACACUAAUUAAUCACAAUCAGUUACAGACUUCUUUGUUCCUUUUCCAAGCCAAACAGUUCACUUGACUAGCCUAAA
ensembl:misc_RNA Y_RNA Y RNA